AAAAACCUGAACGAUGACGAGGCAGCCUCUGGCUGAAACAGAUUAUCGCCUUAUCCAAGUGGCCGAUCAGAGGACCAUUGAUUCGCCCCCGUGGAGAAAUUUCAUUCGGCUGUUUAGCUUAUUGCAGAUUCCCGGUCGGAAUAUUAUCGCUUUUCUACGAGAUAAAUGGCAUAAAAAUUGGUUUUAAACAGCGGUUGACAUGCUUCGAAGUACGGUAAUGGAAUAUUUAGACAUUUUUUGUCACGCCAUGCGCCAUGCGCACGACCGUUAUUUACCAUUCGUAUAGUGUCUAGAACGCACGAACAAAACAGAGGAUAUUUGGAUAUAACGAUGGAUUAUUUGGGACCAAACCUACAUUUGUUAUUGAAGUAGAAGUCCUGGGAGUGCAUUCUGACGAAGAACAGGAAAGUAUUUGCCAAUAUCAUAACUGGAACUGGAGCUGGACAUCUUUGGAGCUGAAGAUUGAGGCCAGCUUUGGCACGCUAGCGUACACUCUUAACAGUUUUACUGGAUGAAAACACAGCAAGAAAACACAAUAUGUAACAGUUGUCUAUUUUAUUGCAGUAUUGGUGGUGGUUGGUUGAACAACAACUUGUUUAACUAGAGGAAAGAAAACUGAGUAUGCGUAAGCCAUAUUUAAUAUUCAUGCAGUGACUGAACAACAACUGCAUUUCCACUCACACCUCUAAAGGCAUAGUAUCAUGGCAGGUCACCUGUCAAGUCACCUGUCAGGUCAAUCAGUCACUAAUUGCUGCAGAUGUGCUCAAUAGUGCUUGAGCAUAUGAUACUCCCCAAAGCACAUCGAGGUGUGUCACAAGCUAAACACAUGUAUUUUGUCAACUUCCUCCGCUUACUUCUCCUGGUGCCAGACAGGCAGACUUUGCAGUGCUUCCGUGUGUGACUACCUUGAGCAGCAGUUUCAGGGACUUUGCAGGCAAAAUGCCGUGCAGUGAGGCGUAGGGGAUUGUCCGCAGCAGGACGGCCCCCAGUGGAUGGGCACCGAGGGGUGUGGUGCUCCUCCAGCAGCUCUCUCAUGAGGUUCUCUCUGUACUUUUGGUGGUCCACCUUCCCAGUGGCUGACAUGGUUGCUGUAUGGACAGUGGAGAGGACAUGGACGUCUCGUUUGUCAUGCCACUUUACUGCCAGCUUUUGACUGUUCUCCUUGAACUCCACCUCCCCUCUCUGCAUCUUCCUGCAUCCCCUUCUGUUUGACCUGACUGUGCCACAGGCCCCUGUGCUGUUGGAGAGCAGAUGCUGGAAGAGUGUGGGGCUGCUGUACCAAUUGUCCACAUACAAAUUGUGUCCCUUGCCGAGAUGAGGAGCCAGCAUGGUCAUGACCACGGACCCGGACACCCCAAGCCCCUCAUAAUGUUGGAUAUCAGUGGUGGACCCUGUGUAAACUAUAAUGUCCUGGACAAAUCCUGCCUUCACGUCGCACAUGACAAAGAACUUGACACCAAACCUGUGCCUUUUGGAGGGAAUAUAUUGAUGGAACGUCAGCCUACCUUUCCAUAACAUCAGGGACUCAUCAAUGCAUAGGUCCUUGUAUGGCACAAAGACCCGACCAAAUGCUGAUGUCAGGCUGCUCCAAGGCAUAGUGAUUGGUCUCCUCUACUAUGUCUCCCACCAGCUCCUCUGUCAGAAACAACUUGAAGCACUCUGCCUCAGUUGGAAAUGGCAAGGGGUGUUGCACUCCAGACUGGAACUCAUCAAAGCAAACAGCAGGGCCAGGAGGGGUGAAAUGGCUGGCAGCCUUCCAGCUACCACAGAACUCCUGUACUUCAUCCACUGUCGGUCUGCCUCUAUCAUCACCUGCGUCUUCAAAGGGACCUGGGACUUCGUCAGUGGACAAGGGGUCCUCAGAUUCAGUGUUCUCAAUGGCUACAGGGUUGGGGGGCAGCUCCUCACUGCCACUGUCAGAAUUUGAUUCCUGACUUUCAUACUCAGAAUCAUUGUCAGAAUUUUAAAAAAAUCUCCAGAAUUUCCGCAUUUGUGAGUUGUCUCCUUCUGAAAGACAUUGCUAAUGCUACAGCUUAGCUCACUAGCUACAUGCAUAAACAACAACACUGAAUGGCUCAGAGUGGGAGUGAGAGGUUACGUGAUUGACUGCCGGCACACGCCACUUGUAUCAAUAAAUCACGAUCAGAAAAUGUUUUGUGUCGUAAUUAUUUAUAUAUUUACUGUUUAAUUCACGUUUCAAUUACUGGUGACAAAUCAUGCAUUCCGAUUCUUGCAUAGAUUGUAAUGGGCACAUAUUAUUUGUGUAAAAUACUUUUUUGAAGGUUGUACUGAUUAUGAUGAGCUAAGCUAAUUCCAGCUGUGUAUGGAGCCAUGUUUGUUGACAUACAAUGCAUUCUGGGUUUCACGUAAUCGUCUGUUGGACCAAAGAUGUUAUAACAAAAUGAGUUGAGUAAGGGUUCACUCAUUUUGAGGACUUCCGGAAAUGAAUGGUGGGAUGUGAACGAUGGUAGACGACCC
rnacentral:lncRNA from 1 species